GGUCAAAAAGAGAAAGUCACUCCCUCCAUCUCUCCCGCUUGAGAAAUCAAAACCCUAGAAAUCUAUCUUCCAUUUCCAUUCCCAUUCCCAUUCUCAUCGUCCUCUGCACUCCAAAAUCGCAACAAUGUCGAUGUCCAAGAGUUCCAAAAUGCUUCAGUUCAUCAACUACCGGAUGCGGGUCACCAUCCAAGACGGGCGCCAACUGGUCGGCAAAUUCAUGGCCUUCGACCGCCACAUGAAUCUCGUGCUCGGCGACUGCGAGGAGUUCCGCAAGCUUCCUCCUGCUAAAGGAAAGAAGAACUCGAACACCAACGAGGAACGCGAAGACCGUCGAACCCUUGGCCUUGUUCUUCUCCGUGGCGAAGAGGUUAUUUCCAUGACCGUCGAGGGUCCUCCUCCUCCUGAAGAGUCUCGUUCCAAGGCUGCUUCCGCUAAUGCUGUCCCUGGCCCUGGUGUUGGUCGUGCUGCUGGCCGUGGGAUCCCCACUGGGCCACUUGUUCAGGCCCAGCCUGGUCUUGCUGGCCCUGUUCGUGGUGUUGGAGGUCCUGCUCCCGGGAUGAUGCAGCCCCAGAUGUCUCGACCACCUGUUCCGCAGCUCUCCGCUCCUCCCAUGACUUACCCUCCUGCUGGUGGAGCUCCACCCGUGAUCCGUCCCCCUGGGCAAAUGCCACCUGGCGCUUACCCGGGACAACCGCAACCACCUCAGAUGCCACGUGGCCCACCUCCUCAGGUACCGCCUCCGGCUUUUGGAGUAAGACCUCCUCAGCAGUUCCCAGUGCCGCCACCUCAAUAUGGUCAGAGGCCGAUGGUUCCACCUCCAGGACCAAUGAUGAGAGGACCUCCAGCUCCACCGCCUCCACGGCCUGGAAUGCCUGCUCCACCUCCACCACGGCCUGGAAUGCCUCCUCCUCCUGGUGCUGUUCCUGUUUUUGGACCACCACGUCCAGGAAUGCCACCUCCACCAAAUCCUCAAAAUCAGCAGCAGAAUCAGCAGCAGUAGUGAUUUUGAUUUGGUUUAUUCUCCACUAUCGUUUGAAGUUUCAAAGACUAAGCAGGCAGGGGUUUGAUAGGGGUGCUGUGAUGGAUUUUGUCUGGAAUUUAAUGGCAGAGUUCUUACAAACUAGGCUUUAGAGCUUGUUUCUUGAGUAUCUGGCGGCGGCAGCAGCAGCUAGUGUAUAAUUUAUUAGUGAUUGGAUGAAUGGAAAAUUUCUGCCCCUUCUGUAGUUAGGUCGUUCUCAUGUUGUAGUUGCACAGUCUGUUUUGUGAGCAUAGUGUUCCUUUGCCAUGAAAAGGUUUAGCAUUAACUGACCAAUAGACAUUGAACCUCAAAAUUACUCUUAUUUCUUUUGUGAAUGUGCCUUUACCAUUUAAGACUAGAUUUCUUUCUUCA